GACGAACGCUGGCGGCGUGCCUAAUACAUGCAAGUCGAACGCAGUGGGGACGGGUGAGUAACACGUGGGUAACCUCCCAUCAGAGGGGAUAACACUUGGAAACAGGUGCUAAACCGAUACUGAUGGAUGAACCCGCGGUGCAUUAGCUAGUUGGUGAGGUAACGGGUCACCAAGGCCACGAUGCAUAGCCGACCUGAGCGGGUGAGCGCGCACACGGGGACUGAGACACGGCUCAGACUCCUAAGGGAGGCAGCAGUAGGGAAUCUUCGGCAAUGGACGAAAGCUGGACCGAGCAACGCCGCGUGGGUGAAGAAGGUUUUCGGAUCGUAAAACUCUGUUGUUAGAGAAGCGGUAUCUAAAAAGAAAGCCACUGCUAACUACGUGCCAGCAGCCGCGGUAAUAC
rnacentral:rRNA from 1 species